UUGGUCAUUUAGAGUCAGGGUCAGUAGGAGGAAGUAAAAGUUGUAACAACGUCUCGGUAGGUGAACCUCAGGAGGGGUCAUUUCACAUAUGUGAAGGYUGGCGGGAACCUAUCGGGGUUACAGCCUUGCUGAAUUAUUCACCUUUGUCCUUUGCGUACUUCUAGAUUCCUUGGUGGGUUCGCCCACCAAUAGGACAAACAUAAACCUUKUGUAAUUGCAAUCAGCGUCAGUAACAAAUUAAUAAUUACAACUUUCAUCUGCGGAUCUCUUGGUUCGGRUCUCGAUGAAGAACGCAGCGAAAUGCAAUAAGUAGAGUGAAUUGCAGAAUUCAAUGAMUCGUCUAAUCUUUGAACGCACAUUGCGCCCUUUGSYAUGCCAAAGGGCAGGCCUGUUCGAGAGUCAUUUGUACCCUCAAGCUUUGCUUGGUGUUGGGAGUUUUGCCGCUAGCUAUGCCGGAGACUCGCCUAAAAGUAAUUGGCAACCGGCCUACUGGUUUCGGAGCGCAGCACAAGUCGCACUCUCUAUCAGCAAAGGUCUAGCAUCCAUUAAGCCUUCUCUGCAACUUUAGACCUCGGAUCCUGUAGGGAUACCCGCUGAACUUGAGCCCAUCAAAAGUCGGACGAAUCAA
rnacentral:rRNA from 1 species